CGCCUCCUGGGCGCAGAGGCGACGCCGGCUGCCGUCUCUUAGGAGAUUUCUCCGCAGUGGGGACAGGGGUCAGGAUUUGCAGACGGGCAAGGACGAAGAGGAGAAAUCAUACAGGGUUUCUUCAUGCUUUCCUGGGACCAGAGGAAACUUCGGUUGUGUCUGGAAAAUGCACCACUUUUGACUUUGGGAACUAAGGCCCCCCACCCAGGUGGAGGAUAGUUACAUCAGGCUGAACACAAGAGUCCUGGAACACGGCCCUGUUAUCUCACCAAUCAGAAGAAAGUCUGUACACAUUGGAAGAUAAAGAAGACUCUGAACGCCUUCCCAAGAUGAAUAAUUGCAAUUAACUUUCCCUUUUUCCCUUUAAAAAUUUUCAUGGUUGAGCAGAAUCUUCGAAGUUGGUUCCUAGACAUGAGUCUCCCUUCUCUCCAGGUUGCCAGCCUCCUUAAUAAAGUAG